CCCGCCUCGCUCCCGCUUCCCCCCGCCGCCCCAAACUCCUUCCUAAGGACCGUGGGAUGCUGGUGAGCUCUGGUGAGAGUUGCCGGUCUCCAAUUCCAAACGGGGAGCCGCCGGGAGCGGUGAGGCAGCCGUGCCGGGGGAGAGUGGUCGGGGGGAUAGGGAGGCAAUGAAGGAAGGAGGCGGGGGGGCGCAUCCACGCACAUCCCCUCUCCCCCCGUUUGGCGCACCCCCUGCUCCCGGGAAGGUGCAGCCCCCGCGCCCCUCCCGGCCCGGCGCUGUCAGCGCAGCGGCGGCUCCGCGACCCCCGACGGGGCUCCCGCCGCGCCCCGCACGACUCCCCUCGUCCUCCCCCACGCGUGUGCGGAGCGUGCAGGGACACACUCACCUCGCCACUGAGGGUCCCUCUUUUCCUUUAUCUCCCUUCUUUUCCUAUCCCUUCCCCCCCGCAAAAGAAACCUCAAAAAACCCAAAAAACCCCAACCCCCCAAAAGCCCAAUAAUUUGCAUACCGUUUGUCACCCUCGCUCAGUAUUCCCCCCCCCCCCCCCCACUUCUUUAAUCCCCCCCUUCACCCCCGCCCAGACCGACCCUACUCCCUCGCAAGCCGGGUGCAACCGGAUGGCAAAAAUCAAAGCUGGAUCCAAUUUACCCCAGUUGUCUUCCUUUGAACACUCAUAAGGAGUCUGCCCCUGAUUUUAGUCCAGAGGAGCUACUCUUUGAAAUGGUGUGUCCAGCUUUGGCGUUUGCCUGCUGAGGAAGAGGCCUGCUCUCUUCUCCACUCUUGGUACAUGGAUUUUUCUCUCUCCAAGUAAUUCCUCGGCAUCGCCUUGAAAGACAUCUGCCACACUAGAUAACUUUUUCAACCCACAAGACUGAAACAACUUCCCUUAAUUGAAAUGACUCCAGAACAGCUAUUCCCUAGAAGACAUCUUCCUUGAUUUCUUGCGAGGCCUAUAAGAUGACUGGAGUUGUAGGAUGUCUGAAGUAGAAAAGAGUGCCAGAGACACCACAGAACAUGGGAAAUGUUGUCCUGCUUCUGAGGUUCAGAUAUACAACUCAACCAUGGGCAGCUGAGGAUGGACUUUCUACCUCCAUAGGUUUCUGUGGACAAAGACAUAAUUUUGAGCUGCCAGCAUCCCCAAAGAUGUCAGAAAUGUCAUUCACCUGUACCUCCUUCCUGAUGAAACAUGCUGGACCCAUACAUUUACAUGCUGUUCAAUCAGGACCACGCACAUGUGCAAGUAGUACCUGACUUCUGCAGUCUCCCAUUUACUGUACCACACACCUCCACGCCAGGUCAGAGGAAGACCCCUUUGAAAAUGAGGCACUUGAUGAUUGCAGAGGGUAGGGAUCUUGCUCUCAUGUCACAGCUUGGCGUUAUGCCUUCAUCAGGGUAUUAGAAAAGGCUCAGGGAAAAUGGUUACAGCUAUUCUAUUGCCUAAGACACUUCCUGCAGCUACUGCCUUUCCUUAGAAUUACCAAUCCAAGUGGUGACCCUGCCUGACCCUACUUAUCUUGUAAAAGCUGACAAGAUCACAGCCUGAAGCAGUAUAGCCACAGGCUCAAUACCGGCUACCAAAAUGUCUGUUUAGUAUUUUCAAGAAAUGCUGCUCUAAAGAUUUACAAUACCAGCUGCUAGAUACAUGAACAACACCAGCACACAGCUCUGACCCCUGAACAUUCAGCCCCACUUACACAGAAAUUUGUGUCUCUCAAGAGGCCAACACCGAACUGCUACCAAACAGUGAUUCCCUACCUGCAAGCACACUGGAUUUUUAGCACUAUUUGAUUAUAUAUACUAAGAUAUUAGGUAAAAGUAUUUGAAAACUAGUUUGAGUUCAGAAUUCAUUGUUAUCUUUUUUUCAUCAGUUGCAUUACUGCUUUAGCAACAGAAAGAGUUCUACCAUUUCUGUGUAGUACAUUUUUUUAUUUCAGUGUAGAGAAUUUUCUUCAUCCUUCCAUGACCAAAGUAGUUUUUCAUCAGAAGUUAUUUUUAGAUGAACUCUAAGUUUCUUUCCUAGCAAACAUUUUAGCUGCACUGUAUGAAAGGAAAUUCACAUUUCCCUAGAUAUCUCUAAGGAUAAACACAGGUUUAAAUAUCCAAAAAGAUCUUGGGGAACAAUCUGGUUUAUAUAUAUACAUUCAUGUAGCAGAUGCAGUAAGAGUUCUUGCAGAGUAGUGUGGCUUUUUUUAACCCUUUUCUUUUUAGAACAGCAAAGACAUGGAAAAGACAUUGAGGUCCUGUUGCUCCUGUGGAAACUUCUGUUGGCUGCAGCAUGAGUUGGAUUGGACCCAGAGAAACUGAAUACACACAAGUAAUGAUGAGUUGGCCAUACAAGCAAGGAAAAUCACAGAUAACAGGUGCACACCAAUUAGCAGUGUACCUUUUAGGUCAUCCAAUACAGCUCCGUGUCACAAUGAGAUUGUUUCAUAUGGUAUAUUUUUGUUUUUUUUUUUUUUGUUCCUAGAUUAAAUGCCCUGGUGAUGCCAUGUCUCUAGGGAGAGUUGUACUGCCUACAGUAUCUUUUGUCAGGAGCUUUUUUCCUUUCUUACCAUCAUCAUAUUUCUUUUUACAACCCUUUGCAAAUUUCCUUCUUUCCCUUCAUUGAUAUCUUUUAACUAGUGCGAUGUGUUUAGUUAACAUUAAGCCAACCCAUAGAUAUUUGGAUCACUUAAUCUUCCCUAACCUAGAAGUCCUUUCAGUUUUCUUGUUACUCCUCAUCUAUUCUAGUCACGCUAGAUAGCCUGUCAAUAUCUUUUUUUAGCUAUGAGAUUCUAAACAUGCGAUACCUUUCUCUAAACUAGCAACAGAUCUGAUGUAGAGCUGAGCACCAUUCAUGUCUCCUCACUGAAAAUCUUUCCUGAUGUGCCCAGAGGAAAGCUGCCAGCACUCUGAACAGGCAUACAGGUAGAGUGCUCAAACCACUUCCUUGGUGCCUCUUACUCUGUUGGCCAACAAAAUCCUAUUGAAACAGUUGACGUAGUAGUUCAAAAAACAAAUGCAUUUCAUUAUGGAUUUAUUUUAUUUCUCAUAAUGUAAAAAAGACAGAUUAGUACAGAUAAAAAGACCUUUGUUGCUGUUUUUGAGAUUUUCUAGUUCUUGGUCAUGGAUGUCAUAUUCUAAAAUUAUGGAAGACGUCAGCUUCCAUAACUAUGUCUGAGUGCUAGGAAAGUACGUUGUAGAAAGUAAUUACAUACAUACUCGCAAGCCUAGCUGUUCACUUCAAGCAAUAAAUUCUGACCUACAAACAACACUCCUUUAGAGCUAAAUAUGAUCUUGGUUGUAAUGGACUGUCUUUACCUUAGUGUUCUGUUGUAUUGGAGGAAUAUAAUUUUAAUCUGCUGUCUUUAAAUUUUCAUUAAGGAACAUUUCAGCUACCUGCAGCCUCAUCUGAUGAUGUUUAAUGAUAUCAGCUAGCUUGAUCUUCCUCCAUGCACCAGCAGGGACUUCUUUAAAUUGCUCAACUGUAUGGAACACUGUUUUCAAGUUUAAUGUACUUGGAAUUGACCUUUUAAAGUAAUGGCAUUUCUAAUUUUAGAUAUUUAAAUACAAUUUAAAUACACAGCACACACAUAUGUUUGCAUUUAUAUGUGCGUGUGUGUACACCUAUAUAUAUAUAUAUAUAUAAGUGCACACAUAUGUAUAGAAAUGCUGAUUCUAUUCACCUUUUUAAAAUCAUUACAGCUAGUAUUAACAUGAAUGUGCUGUUAAAUUGGCAGUGUUAUACAUUUUUGUUGGAGUUUACUUCUGUAACAUAAAACCAGAAAGAUAAGCUGUGAAACUCGUGCAGCUGAUGACAUAAUUCUAGAAUCUCAUGAUGCUGAAUCUCAUAUUGCUAGGAGUGUGGGAUGGAUGUUCUUUGCUGAAAUAAUUAUACUGUCUCUUGCAAUAUAUGUUUCCUUGUUUUCAUGUGGGUGCUGAGAAAUCCAAAUCAUUAAACAUAAAUGGUACAAUGA